rnacentral:rRNA from 1 species
AGUGAACGCUGGCGGUAGGCCUAACACAUGCAAGUCGAACGGCAGCACAGUAAGAGCUUGCUCUUACGGGUGGCGAGUGGCGGACGGGUGAGGAAUACAUCGGAAUCUACUUUUUCGGGGGGGAUAACGUAGGGAAACUUACGCUAAUACCGCAUACGACCUCCGGUUGAAAGCGGGGGAUCUUCGGACCUUGCGGGAUUGAAUUAGCCGAUGUCGGAUUAGCUAGUUGGCGGGGUAAAGGCCAACCAAGGCGACGAUCCGUAGCUGGUCUGAGAGGUUGAUCGGCCACACUGGAACUGAGACACGGUCCAGACGCCUACGGGAGGCAGCAGUGGGGAAUAUUGGACAAUGGGCGCAAGCCUGAUCCAGCCAUACCGCGUGGGUGAAGAAGGCCUUCGGGUUGUAAAGCCCUUUUGUUGGGAAAGAAAAGCAGCAGGUUAAUACCCCGCUGUUUUGACGGUACCCAAAGAAUAAGCACCGGCUAACUUCGUG